UACAGAGGUCUCAAGCGUUGUUCGGAUUCAUUGGGCGUAAAGGGUGCGCAGGCGGCGUGGAAAGUUGAGUGUGAAAUCCUGGGGCUCAACCUCAGAACUGCACUCAAUACUCCCAUGCUAGAGGAAUGUAGAGGAGAGUGGAAUUCACGGUGUAGCAGUGAAAUGCGUAGAUAUCGUGAGGAAGACCAGUUGCGAAGGCGACUCUCUGGGCAUUUCCUGACGCUCAUGCACGAAGGCCAGGGGAGCAAACGGG
rnacentral:rRNA from 1 species